rnacentral:rRNA from 1 species
CCCUUAGAUGUUCUGAGCCGCACACGCGCUACACUGAAGGAGGCAGCGUGUACUCCUGGAUCGAAAGAUUUGGGUAACCCGCGAAUCUCCUUCGUGCUAGGGAUUGAGGUUUGCAAUUAUCCUUCAUGAACGAGGAAUUCCCAGUAAGUGCAAGUCAUAAGCUUGCGCUGACUACGUCCCUGCCCUUUGUACACACCGCCCGUCGCUACUACCGAUUGAAUGAUUUAGUGAGGACUUCGGACUGGGACCGAUGCGGCUUUCGGGCUGCGUCGGUAUUCUGGAAAGAUGUCCAAACUGUAUCAUUUAGAGGAAGUAAAAGUCGUAACA